rnacentral:rRNA from 1 species
UGCAAGUCGAGCGGCAGCACGGGUACUUGUACCUGGUGGCGAGCGGCGGACGGGUGAGUAAUGCCUAGGAAUCUGCCUGGUAGUGGGGGAUAACGCUCGGAAACGGACGCUAAUACCGCAUACGUCCUACGGGAGAAAGCAGGGGACCUUCGGGCCUUGCGCUAUCAGAUGAGCCUAGGUCGGAUUAGCUAGUUGGUGAGGUAAUGGCUCACCAAGGCGACGAUCCGUAACUGGUCUGAGAGGAUGAUCAGUCACACUGGAACUGAGACACGGUCCAGACUCCUACGGGAGGCAGCAGUGGGGAAUAUUGGACAAUGGGCGAAAGCCUGAUCCAGCCAUGCCGCGUGUGUGAAGAAGGUCUUCGGAUUGUAAAGCACUUUAAGUUGGGAGGAAGGGCAGUUACCUAAUACGUAUCUGUUUUGACGUUACCGACAGAAUAAGCACCGGCUAACUCUGUGCCAGCAGCCGCGGUAAUACAGAGGGUGCAAGCGUUAAUCGGAAUUACUGGGCGUAAAGCGCGCGUAGGUGGUUUGUUAAGUUGGAUGUGAAAUCCCCGGGCUCAACCUGGGAACUGCAUUCAAAACUGACAAGCUAGAGUAUGGUAGAGGG